rnacentral:rRNA from 1 species
UGGGGAAUAUUGCACAAUGGACGGAAGUCUGAUGCAGCAACGCCGCGUGCGGGAUGACGGCCUUCGGGUUGUAAACCGCUUUUUCUCAUGACGAAGUUUUUUGACGGUAGUGGGGGAAGAAGCACCGGCUAACUACGUGCCAGCAGCCGCGGUGAUAAGUAGGGUGCGAGCGUUGUCCGGAAUUAUUGGGCGUAAAGAGCUUGUAGGCGGUUUGUCGCGUCGAUAGUGCAAACUCAGUGCUUAACGCUGAGCCUGCUGUUGAUACGGGCAGACUAGAGGAAGGUAGGGGAGAAUGGAAUUCCCGGUGGAGCGGUGGAAUGCGCAGAUAUCGGGAGGAACACCGGUGGCGAAGGCGGUUCUCUGGGCCUUUCCUGACGCUGGGAAGCGAAAGCGUGGGGAGCGAACAGG